GAUGAACGCUGGCGGCGUGCUUAACACAUGCAAGUCGAACGGUAAGGCCCUUCGGGGUACACGAGUGGCGAACGGGUGAGUAACACGUGGGUGAUCUGCCCUGCACUUCGGGAUAAGCCUGGGAAACUGGGUCUAAUACCGGAUAGGACUCCGGACUGCAUGGUCUGGGGUGGAAAGCUUUUGCGGUGUGGGAUGGGCCCGCGGCCUAUCAGCUUGUUGGUGGGGUGAUGGCCUACCAAGGCGACGACGGGUAGCCGGCCUGAGAGGGUGACCGGCCACACUGGGACUGAGAUACGGCCCAGACUCCUACGGGAGGCAGCAGUGGGGAAUAUUGCACAAUGGGCGCAAGCCUGAUGCAGCGACGCCGCGUGAGGGAUGACGGCCUUCGGGUUGUAAACCUCUUUCAGCAUCGACGAAGCGAGAGUGACGGUAGGUGCAGAAGAAGGACCGGCCAACUACGUGCCAGCCGCCGCGGUAA
rnacentral:rRNA from 1 species